UUGUAAUCUGUAGAAGGUGCCUCGGGUGCGAUUCCGGUCCAAGUUCCUUGGAAAGGGCGUCAUAGAGGGUGAGAAUCCCGUACGUGCCCGGCCAUCAACCCCGUGUGAGGCCCUUUCGACGAGUCGAGUUGUUUGGGAAUGCAGCUCUAAAUGGGUGGUAAAUUUCAUCUAAAGCUAAAUACCGGCCAGAGACCGAUAGCGCACAAGUAGAGUGAUCGAAAGAUGAAAAGCACUUUGAAAAGAGAGUUAAAAAGUACGUGAAAUUGUUGAAAGGGAAGCGCUUGCAACCAGACUCGCGCGCGGGUGUUCAACCGUCCUUCGGGGCGGUGCGCUCUCCCGUGCCCGGGCCAGCAUCGGUUCGGGCGACCGGAUAAAGGUCCCGGGAACGUGGUUCUCUUCGGAGAAUGUUAUAGCCCGGGGCGUAAUGCGGCCAGCCCGGACCGAGGACCGCGCUUUUGCUAGGAUGCUGGCGUAAUGGUUGCCAGCGACCCGUCUUGAAACACGUAAGCAGUUUCCCCCGGCCGGAAAUUUCGUCACGCUAAUAAUUUCGCAGGGACCAAGGAGUCGACCUCUUACGCGAGUGUUUGGGCGUUAAACCCAUGCGCGUAAUGAAAGUGAAUAUGGUAUGAGCUUCGGCGCAAUAUCGACCGAUCUUGAAAUUUAUGGAUGGAUUUGAGUACGAGCGCAAGGGGUCGGACCCGAAAGAUGGUGAGCUAUGCGUGAAUAGGGUGAAGCCAGAGGAAACUCUGGUGGAGGCUCGCAGCGGUUCUGACGUGCAAAUCGAUCGUCAAAUUUGCGUAUAGGGGCGAAAGGUGAGUCUCGCGAAUCAUUGCCAUUGGAAUUCCGGCUAACGAAGAAUGUAGACUAAUCGAACCAUUUGGACGCACCUCGAGCUAGGUGGUUAAUUUUUGAAGAGUCCCCGGGGACGUUUCCCGGGGGCGACAUCGCCAUUUGCAUGGAUUCUCUCCGCCCGAGGGAAACAUGUACCGGACUCGCCCCUUCGGGGAAAGUUCGAUCACAGACCAGAUGGUGGUGGCCCGCGGGCGCGGGUUCUAACAUGGUCGAGCCCCUCCCUGCCCCAGGGGAGCAUGGAAACAGCGCUAGUAGCUGGUUCCUGUCGAAGUUUCCCUCAGGAUAGCAGCAACGAACACAGUCUCAUGAGGUAGAGCGAACGAUUAGAGGCCUUGGGGCAGAAACUGCCUUAACCUAUUCUCGAACUUCGAAUAUGUGAGAAGUCCUUGUUACUUAGUUGAA
rnacentral:rRNA from 1 species